rnacentral:lncRNA from 1 species
GAACAGAUUCAUCAUUUUGUUGCUGAAAACUUGUAAUCUUCCCACGGAGAGCAUUGGUCUUGCCCAUGGGAAAGAACUUUGCCAGGAAGUUUGUUGAGCAGAGUGCCCACGUAGUAUUCUUCUCCUCUGUAGCGUAGAACCACUGCUUCGCUCUUCCUAAUAGUGAGAAUGGGAAGAGGCGAAGUAGUAUAGCAUCUUUGGAAACUCCUGAUAUGGUGAAUGUGUUGC